rnacentral:rRNA from 1 species
GAUGAACGCUGGCGGCGUGCUUAACACAUGCAAGUCGAACGAUGAAGCCCAGCUUGCUGGGUGGAUUAGUGGCGAACGGGUGAGUAACACGUGAGUAACCUGCCCUUGACUCUGGGAUAAGCCUGGGAAACUGGGUCUAAUACUGGAUAUGACUUCUCAUCGCAUGGUGGGGGGUGGAAAGAUUUAUUGGUCUUGGAUGGACUCGCGGCCUAUCAGCUUGUUGGUGAGGUAAUGGCUCACCAAGGCGACGACGGGUAGCCGGCCUGAGAGGGUGACCGGCCACACUGGGACUGAGACACGGCCCAGACUCCUACGGGAGGCAGCAGUGGGGAAUAUUGCACAAUGGGCGCAAGCCUGAUGCAGCGACGCCGCGUGAGGGAUGACGGCCUUCGGGUUGUAAACCUCUUUCAGUAGGGAAGAAGCGAGAGUGACGGUACCUGCAGAAGGAGCGCCGGCUAACUACGUG